ACGGAGGGUGCAAGCGUUACUCGGAAUCACUGGGCGUAAAGAGCGUGUAGGCGGGUAUAUAAGUCAGAAGUGAAAUCCAAUAGCUUAACUAUUGAACUGCUUUUGAAACUGUAUACCUAGAAUGUGGGAGAGGUAGAUGGAAUUUCUGGUGUAGGGGUAAAAUCCGUAGAGAUCAGAAGGAAUACCGAUUGCGAAGGCGAUCUACUGGAACAUUAUUGACGCUGAGACGCGAAAGCGUGGGGAGCAAACAGGAUUAGAUACCCUGGUAGUCCACGCCCUAAACGAUGCACACUAGUUGUUGUGAGGCUCGACCUUGCAGUAAUGCAGUUAACACAUUAAGUGUGCCGCCUGGGGAGUACGGUCGCAAGAUUA
rnacentral:rRNA from 1 species